GAAAUGCGAUAAGUAGUGUGAAUUGCAGAAUUCAGUGAAUCAUCGAAUCUUUGAACGCACAUUGCGCCCCUUGGUAUUCCAUGGGGCAUGCCUGUUCGAGCGUCAUUUGUACCCUCAAGCUCUGCUUGGUGUUGGGUGUUUGUCCCGUCUCCGCGCGUGGACUCGCCCCAAAGUGAUUGGCAGCCGGCGUACAGGUCCCGGAGCGCAGCACAUGUCGCGCAAACGAGUGCCUUGGUACGGCGGCGUCCAUAAGCCCCUCUCUCACGCUCUUGACCUCGGAUCAGGUAGGGAUACCCGCUGAACUUAAGC
rnacentral:misc_RNA from 1 species